GACACUUGACUCCACAUCACUAACUUGAUCGUCGGAGGGGUCGGGCCGAGCUUCCGACCCGACCUGUGUGCAGGAACGAAGACAAGGCGCCUCUCACCGGGCGCACAGGCGAAGAGCUCCCCGGAGAAGUUUGGUAGAUUCCACGUCAUUUAGACCCGAACCGAGCCACGUCGGCCCCGAGGCCACGUCAUUUAGAGCUCCCCGCGUCGGCCCCGAGCCCUUGAAAUGAUCCAAAAUGAUGCAGAGCUCAUGGGCUUGAAGUUAAUCCAAGCACCACUGGUUGAUGUAGAAAUUAGAGGAGUUCCUGCCCUAAGAUUCAUGGGAGACAUUGUCUGGAAGUGACAUUGUCUUGAACCGAAAGCCACAUGAAGAUCGACAUCUUGCAAGAGGCAAAGACCCGAAACUCUGAUAGCAUAAUAUCUGCUGCAUGGCAAGUAGUCGAUAGGCUUCGUAUCUGAUCGGGGUUUCAAAGCAGGUUAUUUAUGGAGCAGUUGAAAGGAAAAUGUUGCAUGCUGACUUUAUCCAACCCCUCUUUUUUCCCCCCAAAAAAGAUGUUUAUGCUGAAAUGUAGUACUGCUUGCCUGUGUGGCUGUGCUUGUUUAGCUGAUUAUUUGCAAAGUGAAGGGGAAGAUGGGAGGGAAUUUUGAUCUACAUGGUUAUCUGUUCUAGCUUUCUUAUCUACACAACUCAUGCAUUUCAUUCAUGAGACAAAUAUAUGAGAACGACUGUCUUCAAGGUGUAUUAUUUCCACUUCUGAUGCUUGCAAUGGUAAAGAUGAGUUGCCUGUA